rnacentral:rRNA from 1 species
ACUACGGGAGGCAGCAGUGGGGAAUAUUGCACAAUGGGGGAAACCCUGAUGCAGCAACGCCGCGUGAGUGAAGAAGUAUUUCGGUAUGUAAAGCUCUAUCAGUAGGGAAGAAGAAAGACGGUACCUGACUAAGAAGCCCCGGCUAACUACGUGCCAGCAGCCGCGGUAAGACGGAGGGGGCAAGCGUUCUCCGGAUUUACGGGGGGUAAAGGGAGCGUAGACGGCUGUGCAAGUCGGAAGUGAAAGCCCGUGGCGCAACCGCGGAACUGCUUUGGAAACUGUAUAGCUUGAGUACUGGAGAGGCCGGCGGAAUUCCUCGUGUAGCGGUGAACUGCGUAGAUAUUAGGAGGAACACCAGUGGCGAAGGCGGCCUGCUGGACAGAACCUGACGUUGCGGCUCGAAAGCGUGGGGAGCAAACAGGAUUAGAUACCCGGGUAGUC